CCUACGGGAGGCAGCAGUGGGGAAUAUUGGACAAUGGGGGCAACCCUGAUCCAGCGACGCCGCGUGAGGGAAGAAGGCUUUCGGGAUGUAAACCUCUUGUAACAGGGACGAAAGAAAUGACGGUACCUGACCAAGAAGCAGCGGCUAACUACGUGCCAGCAGCCGCGGUAAUACGUAGGAGGCAAGCGUUAUCCGGAAUUACUGGGUGUAAAGGGGGCGUAGGCGGGUGUGUAAGUCUGAUGUGAAAAGCGGGGGCUCAACCCCGGGACUGCCUUUGAAACUGUGCAGCUUGAGUGCUGGAGAGGCAACCGGAAUUCCGGGUGUAGCGGUGAAAUGCGUAGAUAUUCGGAGGAACACUAGUGGCGAAGGCGGGUUCCUGGACAUUAACUGACGCUGAGGCACGAAGGCCAGGGGAGCGAAAGGGAUUAGAUACCCGAGUAGUC
rnacentral:rRNA from 1 species